GAUGAACGCUGGCGGCGUGCUUAACACAUGCAAGUCGAACGAAGCAUUUAGAACAGAUUACUUCGGUUUGAAGUUCUUUAUGACUGAGUGGCGGACGGGUGAGUAACGCGUGGGUAACCUGCCUUGUACUGGGGGAUAGCAGCUGGAAACGGCUGGUAAUACCGCAUAAGCGCACAAUGUUGCAUGACAUGGUGUGAAAAACUCCGGUGGUAUAAGAUGGACCCGCGUCUGAUUAGCUAGUUGGUGAGAUAACAGCCCACCAAGGCGACGAUCAGUAGCCGACCUGAGAGGGUGACCGGCCACAUUGGGACUGAGACACGGCCCAGACUCCUACGGGAAGCAGCAGUGGGAAAUAUUGCACAAUGGAGGAAACUCUGAUGCAGCGACGCCGCGUGAGUGAAGAAGUAAUUCGUUAUGUAAAGCUCUAUCAGCAGGGAAGAUAGUGACGGUACCUGACUAAGAAGCUCCGGCUAAAUACGUG
rnacentral:rRNA from 1 species